UGCAGGAUAAGCUAAAGAAAAAGCUGUUGGGCUCAUAACCCAAAAAUGAAUAUAAAUUCUCCUACAA
rnacentral:tRNA from 1 species